rnacentral:rRNA from 1 species
GGUAGUCCACGCCGUAAACGAUGUCGACUUGGAGGUUGUGCCCUUGAGGCGUGGCUUCCGGAGCUAACGCGUUAAGUCGACCGCCUGGGGAGUACGGCCGCAAGGUUAAAACUCAAAUGAAUUGACGGGGGCCCGCACAAGCGGUGGAGCAUGUGGUUUGAUUCGAUGCAACGCGAAGAACCUUACCUACUCUUGACAUCCAGAGAACUUAGCAGAGAUGCUUUGGUGCCUUCGGGAACUCUGAGACAGGUGCUGCAUGGCUGUCGUCAGCUCGUGUUGUGAAAUGUUGGGUUAAGUCCCGCAACGAGCGCAACCCUUAUCCUUUGUUGCCAGCGGUUAGGCCGGGAACUCAAAGGAGACUGCCAGUGAUAAACUGGAGGAAGGUGGGGAUGACGUCAAGUCAUCAUGGCCCUUACGAGUAGGGCUACACACGUGCUACAAUGGCGCAUACAAAGAGAAGCGACCUCGCGAGAGCAAGCGGACCUCAUAAAGUGCGUCGUAGUCCGGAUUGGAGUCUGCAACUCGACUCCAUGAAGUCGGAAUCGCUAGUAAUCGUAGAUCAGAAUGCUACGGUGAAUACGUUCCCGGGCCUUGUACACACCGCCCGUCACACCAUGGGAGUGGGUUGCAAAAGAAGUAGGUAGCUUAACCUUCGGGAGGGCGCUUACCACUUUGUGAUUCAUGACUGGGGUGAAGUCGUAACAAGGUAACCGUAGGGGAACCUGC